UCACUAUUGACUGUCACUGGCAUAAAUCCUUCAGGAUGAACGAUCUGCAUGCAUCAGAACAUUAACUUCGAUGAUCCCUCUGUGGAAGUCUAAGACCUCAGAAAUCCUAGGCAGCAACAUGUGGAAUUGUCCCAAGACGAAUAAACAAAUAAUCCUCACACCAAUUAAUUUUGCCUCAGUGUGAUACCCAGAGCAGGUCAAGGAAAACAACGUUCAGAUGCUGCUCAGAAUUAGCAGAUACAUUUCCUUACCAUUGGCAUAGUGUCCAAAAGAGCAUGAACAUCUACCAAAAUGCCUGUGUCUUCCAAAACAAG